rnacentral:tRNA from 1 species
UAGCUCAGUUGGUAGAGCAUGGUGUUUGCAACGUCAGCAUGGUGGGUUCGAUUCCCAC